rnacentral:rRNA from 1 species
CCUACGGGCGACAGCAGUGGGGAAUAUUGCACAAUGGGGGGAACCCUGAUGCAGUGACGCCGCGUGGGGGAGGAAGGACUUCGGUAUGUAAAGCCCUAUAAGCAGGGAAGAAAAUGACGGUACCUGACGAAGUAAGCUCGGGUAACUAAGUGCCAGCAGCCGCGGGAAAACGUAGGGGACAAGCGGUAACCUGAAUUACUGGGUGUUAAGGGGGCGUAGACGGGGUGGCAAGUCUGGUGUGAAAGGCAGGGGCUUAACCUCAGGACUGCAAUGGAAACCGGCAUGCUGGAGUGCCGGAGAGGAAAGCGGAAUUCCUAGUGUAGCGGUGAAAUGCGUAGAUAUUAGGAGGAACACCGGUGGCGAAGGCGGCUUUCUGGACGGUAACUGACGUUGAGGCACGAAAGCGUGGGGAGCAAACAGGAUUAGAUACCCGUGUAGUC